CAACCCUUAAGCCCUAGCUGCUUAGCGUUGGGGGCCUGCGAGCGCCUGCUCGCAGCCCCUCGAAGUCAGUGGCGGGAGCCGGUCACACACUCGUAGACGUAGUAGAUCUCUCGUCUCGCCUACAGUUGUGCCGGCCCCCUGCCAUAAAAACACCCCCCAAUUACCAAAA
rnacentral:misc_RNA from 1 species